rnacentral:rRNA from 1 species
GAACGGUAACAGGUCUUCGGAUGCUGACGAGUGGCGAACGGGUGAGUAAUACAUCGGAACGUGCCUAGUAGUGGGGGAUAACUACUCGAAAGAGUAGCUAAUACCGCAUGAGAUCUACGGAUGAAAGCAGGGGACCUUCGGGCCUUGUGCUACUAGAGCGGCUGAUGGCAGAUUAGGUAGUUGGUGGGGUAAAAGCUUACCAAGCCUGCGAUCUGUAGCUGGUCUGAGAGGACGACCAGCCACACUGGGACUGAGACACGGCCCAGACUCCUACGGGAGGCAGCAGUGGGGAAUUUUGGACAAUGGGCGAAAGCCUGAUCCAGCAAUGCCGCGUGCAGGAUGAAGGCCCUCGGGUUGUAAACUGCUUUUGUACGGAACGAAAAGCCUGGGGCUAAUAUCCCCGGGUCAUGACGGUACCGUAAGAAUAAGCACCGGCUAACUACGUGCCAGCAGCCGCGGUAAUACGUAGGGUGCAAGCGUUAAUCGGAAUUACUGGGCGUAAAGCGUGCGCAGGCGGUUUUGUAAGACAGUGGUGAAAUCCCCGGGCUCAACCUGGGAACUGCCAUUGUGACUGCAAGGCUAGAGUGCGGCAGAGGGGGAUGGAAUUCCGCGUGUAGCAGUGAAAUGCGUAGAUAUGCGGAGGAACACCGAUGGCGAAGGCAAUCCCCUGGGCCUGCACUGACGCUCAUGCACGAAAGCGUGGGGAGCAAACAGG